ACGUAAUUGCGGUUGUAGGUAG
rnacentral:misc_RNA from 1 species